rnacentral:tRNA from 1 species
GAGGAUGUAGCUCAGUGGUAGAGCACUUUCCUGGUGUGUAUAAGGGCCUGGGUUCGAUUCCCAGUACUACA